UCUGCGUGGCCACGGGCAGCACGAAUUGCAGCAUCUUACCCAUGUCGUUGCACGCGUUAUCCCGAGCCUCGUCCAUGCGCACUGCAUUCUCCGGGGCGGAGAACGCCUGGAUCACCUCCGCCAGGACCACUGCGCGCCAGAAGCAUCCCAGUGAGGCGUCCCGGGGAGGCGUCGGAGAACGGACAGCGGGCCCAGCGGAGAGCGCAGGGAAUUAGUGGAUUGAGGCUGUAGGUAACCCAAUAAGAUCCCGAGUCUUGGGGACAAGCGCCCCACUUAGAAGGACGGUAUCCGGCGUCCCCUACCCCAUUUUCCCGGCGGACGUAGCCAGGUUUGUUGCCCCACCACCGCCCGCAUCCUCCCCGGACCGGCAGCCCAUGCCUUGACUAGGAUAAUUCUCACCCUUCGCCUGCUCAGCGCUCAGGGCCGCCGGUUGGCUCGAGGCGGACGCCAUGAGGGAAGGUUCCGCGGAGACAAAUGGAAAGCUCAGGAAUAAAUAGAGCCACGUCCUACAACCGUCUCCAAAGCUAGUGGGGGCGGAGAGGAAGUACCAACCCGCGUAGCCGGAAAUCUCCAGGCGUGGCACAAAGCUUUCUACUCAAGAUUUACAACAGUAUUUAAAUAAAAAGAACCAUUCAUUACUGUAAAUUCCGUCCAGUAAACAUAUUUUUUCUACUGUUAAAAACAACCUAUAUUAAGUGGGGCUUUCCGAUAACAACCAGAAAGCCUGCUAGACAAAUUCUAAAAGAGCUGUAACACUAUCGGGGGUAUCUCUGGAAAGAAGGUGGGAUAUGCAUGAACUCCAUAAUUGGUGAGGGUGAGCUUAGGUGACGUUUUUCUUGUUCCUAAACUGUAUAAACAACGACGCAUGUUGUAACUUUCAGUAGGAAAAAUAAUAUUCCAAGGAACUUACUUAUGUCAUUCAUUUCUAGAGUUCGCGAACAUUUGCUCUCAGCCCAUGCAAAUGAGUUCGGUGCUGAUUGGUUGAGAAAGCAGCCAGUCACAGCCCCUUCGUUGUUGUUAAGCCCGGAGACUUGGAUUCGGCAGUAAAAGCCCUGAGCAAAAGCC
rnacentral:antisense_RNA from 1 species